ACUGCCCUCCAGAGGCGUUGCAGCGUGUCUUGUCUGUGCCACGUCUGUGUCAUGGAGGGCAGAGAGUAACGGGCUAUGUCUACGCUCAGCAUCCCUGUCUGAUGGGUGCUCAGAAUGAUUAAUAGCCUGACAAG